GAUGAACGCUGGCGGCGUGCCUAAUACAUGCAAGUCGAGCGAACAGACGAGGAGCUUGCUCCUCUGACGUUAGCGGCGGACGGGUGAGUAACACGUGGAUAACCUCCCUAUAAGACUGGGAUAACUUCGGGAAACCGGAGCUAAUACCGGAUAAUAUAUUGAACCGCAUGGUUCAAUAGUGAAAGACGGUUUUGCUGUCACUUAUAGAUGGAUCCGCGCCGCAUUAGCUAGUUGGUAAGGUAACGGCUUACCAAGGCAACGAUGCGUAGCCGACCUGAGAGGGUGAUCGGCCACACUGGAACUGAGACACGGUCAAGACUCCUACGGGAGGCAGCAGUAGGGAAUCUUCCGCAAUGGGCGAAAGCCUGACGGAGCAACGCCGCGUGAGUGAUGAAGGUCUUCGGAUCGUAAAACUCUGUUAUGAGGGAAGAACAAAUGUGUAAGUAACUAUGCACGUCUUGACGGUACCUAAUCAGAAAGCAACGGCUAACUACGUG
rnacentral:rRNA from 1 species